CGCCCCUCUUUUCUCUCCUCAAGCAUGGGUCUCAUAAGAAAUUAUCGGAUAAACCAAAUCCAUCCUGGAUGUAGGAUGAAAUGAAUCCGUUUUCUCUUAUUUCCUAUCUUUUUUAUAUAAAGUAGCAAUAUAUGUUUGAAUAAUUUCAUCCUAAAUCUAUGAUGGAUAUAAUUCAUCUAAUAAUUUCUUUUUGUUCACAGUGUGCCCAUGA
rnacentral:lncRNA from 1 species